GUCGCUCACCUUGGUCAACAAAGGACACAGAUGGAUUCAUGACAAAAGUGUGUUUUGGUGAUGGUGAUGUGUUUUUAGAUUUAACUUUACUUAACAUUCUUGCUGCUUACAAUUAUCUCUAUCUAUAAUGAACUUGGCCCAGUAGUUUCAGUGGAAAAUGUUUGUGAAAAUCUACAAAUUUUAUGAAAAUUGUUAUAAAUUGACUAUGAAGGGCAAUAACUCCUUAGGGGGUCAAUUGACCAUUUUGGUCGUGUGGACUUAUUUUUGGGUCUUACUUUGCUGAACAUUAUUGCUGUUUACAGUUUAUCUCAAUCUAUUAUAGUAUUCAAGGUAUUAACCAAAAACAGCAAAAUUUCCUUAAAAUUACCAAUUCAGGGGCAGCAACCUAACAACAGGUUGUCCGAUUCAUCUGAAAAUUUCAAGGCUGAUAGAUCUUGACCUGAUAACUUUUUAACUCCAUCAGAUUUGCUCUAAAUGCUUUGGUUUUUGAGUUAUAAGCUAAAAAAUGCAUUUCACCCCUAUGUUCUAUUUUUAGCCAUGGUGGCCAUCUUGGUAGGUUCGCCGAGUUACCGGACACAAUUUUAAAACUAGAUACCCCAAUGAUGAUUAUG
rnacentral:lncRNA from 1 species